AGCAUGUAAAACAAGAAGAAAGUUUUGCUCUCGUUAAAUAUUAUUGCUUCAGCUUUAAACCACAGAGACGCAAUGCCUUUUCACCACAUGUUAAUGAGGAGGUCACAGUAAAUGGUCAACCUUA